rnacentral:SRP_RNA from 1 species
CCGUGCUAGAUGGGGAGGUAGCGGUGCCCUGUAACCUGCAAUCCGCUAUAGCAGGAUCGAUGCCCAGUUGCGGCGUUAUAUUGUAGGGUCUGCCCUGGAUAAGUGGUGUUGACAAAUGGGUCCUGCGCAACGGAAAUCUAUGAACCCCGUCAGGUCCGGGAGGAAGCAGCGGUAAGUAGACACUUCCGUGUGCCGCAGGGGCGCCUGUUUCGAGCUAACUGUCCAGGUAACGCUUGUAAUAUAGCGACAAGGCUGGGUGCACGG